rnacentral:rRNA from 1 species
GACGAGGGAUCCUAGCGUUGUUCGGAAUUAUUGGGCGUAAAGCGGGUGUAGGUGGCUAUGUAAGUCAGAUGUGAAAGCCCAGGGCUCAACCCUGGAAGUGCAUUUGAAACUGUGUAGCUUGAGUGUCGGAGAGGUUACUAGAAUUCUUGGUGUAGUGGUGAAAUACGUAGAUAUCAAGAGGAAUACCGGAGGCGAAGGCGGGUAACUGGCCGAACACUGACACUGAGAUCCGAAAGUGCGGGGAUCAAACAGG